rnacentral:rRNA from 1 species
UACGUAGGGUGCAAGCGUUAAUCGGAAUUACUGGGCGUAAAGCGUGCGCAGGCGGUCCGCUAAGACAGAUGUGAAAUCCCCGGGCUUAACCUGGGAACUGCAUUUGUGACUGGCGGGCUAGAGUAUGGCAGAGGGGGGUAGAAUUCCACGUGUAGCAGUGAAAUGCGUAGAGAUGUGGAGGAAUACCGAUGGCGAAGGCAGCCCCUGGCCAAUACUGACGCUCAUGCACGAAAGCGUGGGGAGCAAACAGG